rnacentral:rRNA from 1 species
AGUACUAUACCUUUAUGUAUGUAAGCGUAUUACCGGUGGAGUUCUUACAUGUGCUUAGAUACUUGUAUUUUUUCAUAUGUUCCUCCUAUAUAAAAACCUGCAUUAGUGCUCUUAAACGAGUGUUAUUGUGGGCCGGUACAAUUACUUUGAACAAAUUAGAGUGCUUAAAGCAGGCCUCAAAUGCCUGAAUACUCUGUGCAUGGGAUAAUGAAAUAAGACCUCUGUUCUGCUUUCAUUGGUUUUCAGAUCAAGAGGUAAUGAUUAAUAGGAGCAGUUUGGGGGCAUUAGUAUUACCACGCGAGAGGUGAAAUUCUUGGACCGUCGUAAGACUAACUUAAGCGAAAGCAUUUGCCAAAGAUGUUUUCAUUAAUCAAGAACGAAAGAUAGAGGUUCGAAGGCGAUCAGAUACCGCCCUAGUUCUAACUUUUAUGGCUCUUUCAGUCGCUUCCCGGGAAACCAAAGCUUUUGGGCUCCGGGGAAAGUAUGGUUGCAAAGCUGAAACUUGAAGGAAUAGACGGAAGGGCACCACCAGGAGUGGAGUCUGCGGCUUUAUUUGACUCAACACGUGAAACCUAUAAGAGGUCCGAACAUCAAUGUGUAAGACAGAUUAAUAGCUCUUUCUCGAAUCUAUGGGUGGUGGUGCAUGGUCGUUCUUAGUUCGUGGAGUGAUUUGUCUGGUUAUUUCCGAUAACGAACGGGACUCAAAUAUAUUAAAUAGAUAUCUUCAGGAUUAUGGUGUUGAAGCUUAUAUAGCCUUCAUUAUGGUGUUUAUUGUGUUUGAAUGUGUUAAUAUAAGUGGAGCCGUACCUGUUGGUUUGUCCCAUUAUAAAGACACUAGCUUCUUAAAUGGACAAAUUGCGUCUAGCAAUAAUGAGAUUGAGCAAUAAUAGGUCUGUGAUGCCCUUAGGUGUCCUGGGCUGCACUCGCGCUACAAUGAAAGUAUCAACGUGUAUUUCCUAGACCGAGAGGUCCGGGUAAACCGCUGAACCACUUUCAUGCUUGGGAUUGUGAACUGAAACUGUUCAUAUGAACUUGGAAUUCCCAGUAAGUGUGAGUCAUUAACUCGUAUUGAUUAAGUCCCUGCCCUUUGUACACACCGCCCGUCGCUACUACCGAUUGAAUUAUUUAGUGAGGUCUCCGGACGUGAUCACUGUGACGCCUUGUGUGUUACGGUUGUUUCGCAAAAGUUGACCAAACUUGAUUAUUUUGAGGAAAUAAAAGUCGUUACAAGGUAACGUAGGUGAACCUACGGAAG